ACGUUCUGGGAAAGACACCACAGCAUGGAAGUUUCCUUUGGUGCUGCAGUGCUUCUAGAGAUGCCUACUCAAACCAGGCUCCUGCUUGUGAGAAGACAUUUGAUAUACCAGGUGCCUCAGAACCCCAGAACUUUGUUUCUCAACCUUGGCCUUCUACAUCAACACACUCAGAUGUGUAAGAAUAUUCAGAGACAACAAGAUUAACCGCAGGUGGGGACUGGAGGUCUGGACCGACAGGUCGCUCAGCAUGACCACAUGUACACUCUGCCAG